rnacentral:lncRNA from 1 species
CUGGAGACGAAAUCCCGUUUUGCAGCCUAGCAACAUUCCAGCACGCCAAAAUCGACAUCAAUAAACUGAUAUAGUACUGGCCUGCAAGCCUGCAAGCAAUAUGCAAACAAAUCACUGGACUGGAAGAUAUAACUUGAGGUGCUUGAUUUGUUGCCAUUGGUGAUUAUGAGGAAGACGAUCCAGUAUUGUAUGUCUAUGGAAAACUGGUCCGAGAAUCCAUUAAAGCCUCUUGGUACUGCAACACCACCCAUAACACCUAAAAUGUUGGUUUAAAAGUCUUUAUAGAUUUGGUUGUUAACUUUAUCUCUUCUUCUAAGUCAAAUAGAACAUGAAAAAUAAAGGUGCAAUAAAUCAUAUUGAAAAGGCGAGUGUAUUUUGGUUUUUAAGUCUAGUCUAGGCUAGGUAGGGCUGGGCACGGGACGGGACGGGCCGGGAUUUGGUGAAUCCCGUCCCGUCCCGAAAAUAAAAGAACGGGACGGGACGGGACGGGAAGGUGUUUUUAAAAAUCUGUCCCGUACGUCCCGAUCCCGACUAAAUUUUUUUUUUUUUUUUUUUUUUUNNNNNNNNNNNNNNNNNNNNNNNNNNNNNNNNNNNNNNNNNNNNNNNNNNNNNNNNNNNNNNNNNNNNNNNNNNNNNNNNNNNNNNNNNNNNNNNNNNNNNNNNNNNNNNNNNNNNNNNNNNNNNNNNNNNNNNNNNNNNNNNNNNNNNNNNNGUGCAUAGGUGCUAAAUUACAUCUCACUUUAAAAGUACUAAACAUCACACAUUAAAAAUUAACCCUCAAACAACAACUUAAAAUAUCCAAAAUCACACAAGCAAAAAAAAAGAACAUGAAUGAAAUUAAAAGUAUUAUUUUAGACCAAAUUAAGUGUGGUUGAGUGCAUUGUAACACCAUGCAACCUAAAAAAUCAAGUAUAAAAUGAAUAAAAUCAAGUAUUCUAAUAUUACGGGACGGGACGGGAUUUUUCGGGAUAGUCCCGUCCCGUCCCGUCCGGUUAUGGUAAUGUUAAAACGGGACGGGACGGGACGGGACGGGACGGGACGGGACGGGACGGGACGGGACGGGAUUGCUAUUUUCAAAACCUAUCUCGUCCCGUCUCGCUAACUUUCGGGACGGGACCGGUAUGGGAUCAGGAUUCCGGUACUAAGUGCCCAGCCCUAAGGCUAGGUUUGUAAGCCUAAAGAGGUAAUUUCUUAUUAUCGGUAUUUAUGUGUGAGUUAUCUUAGUACUGUUUGCUGAAUAAUAUAAUUAGUUGACUUUCGACUCAAAAAAAAUAAAAUAUUUUACAUAUAUAUUGUUAACAUAAAUGAGUCGAGUUUUAAUGAAUAGGCCGAGAUUUUAACGAGCUCGAUCUACUCAUAUAAUAUACGAGCUACCCACGAGCUAAACGAGCCGAAUACAUCAUUAUUCAAGCUCGGCUCGUUUUUUUAUCAGGCUUAAUAUUGAGCUCAAACUCGGUAAUUUGAUGUUUUUAAUGCAACUAACGCGUAAUAAUAGCACAGUCAUCAAAGAUAGGGGAAAUAUUUAGACCCCAAGUAUCGUAUCAUGGGGAUUGAAAAGCUAACUCCAAUCCUCGUCUUCAGACUACUAAGUCAAAAACAAUUUCUACAAAGUGAUAUGAACAAUGUGAAUGAUAGAGAAAGUUGAUUUUGGUUUUGGGAAACUAAAACUAAAAUUGAAAAUAAAAUAAAAAUAAUAGAAACUAAUCAAGGAAUGAGAUAGAAUUAGGUCACUAGGGUAUCCUUCUAGCCAAAUCUAAUGCACAAAUGUGUUUUCAAUGGUCAUUCAAUUCCUAAUGGCAUCAAGAACCGUACUCAAGGUUUUUCAAGCCUCAAGGGUCAUUAGAUUCCUUAUGAGGUAUUCCUACUCUGGUUCAAGGGUAGUAGAAACUCGAUUGAGACAAUCUAGAGCCUUGUUAAGGCCUCUAGAUGAACCAAAAGGCGAAGAGUCCUAGAAUCAAGGUUCCCAAGCUAGCCAAUACGGCAAUCGAAAUUGACAUUGUAACUAACCAUGCCCUAAACAAGUGUCAUAGCCAUAACCAUAAAUUAGAGAAGUGUUUAAGUCCCCUAAUUUGUUCUAGACAUGCUCAUCUACACAUUCAAGAGUUAAUCAAGCUCCUAAUCAUGCAUCUAAGCCAAUAAUAAUAGAAUAGAACAUAUGCCCAAUAUGAAAUUGAAAUCCAUUGAAUCAAAACACAUUCGUUACAUUAAAUCCAAGCUAGGGCUCAAACCCUAGUUUCCUAAAUAGACUACUCACAAUCCAUAACAAAUCAACAACAAAGUAUAUCAAGUAAAGAGGUAAAGGUGAAGAGGAGUGAGAAGUAACAAGAACAAGCCACAAAUUGCUAUGUAGUUUCUCACUUUACCCAAAUCUCAAAUAUAGAUGUCCGAUGCUCCCUUGAAGUGUCUUGAAAUAUAGAUGGGAAUUUGGUGUAGAUGGAGUGAGAGUGAAGGGAUGGUGAUGGUGAUCUUGAGUAGUAGAAAAUGGUAGAGUGAGAGGAGAAUGGAGGCACGGUGGCCUUGAGGAGAACUGAGGAUGAGAUGUUGGAAUGCUGGUUCGGUGGUGUGAGGAGAAGAGAGAAUAGGAUGGGAUCCUCUCCCUUCAAGUGAGGUUGUGCAGCGUUUAUCAAGGGGAGCCCCCAAUUAGGUCUCCGUGUGGCUGACUCGAUUUUGCCUCAGAUAAUUGGAGCAACUGCCACGUGGCAUUGUGUGAUAAGCUGGAGCUUCAUAGCUUGAUUUCUUCUUCAAUUUGCUUAAUGUUUUUCCGCUCUCUUGAUGACACGACCAUGGGUGACCGGUAUUGUUAUUUCGUUAAUUUGCCGUAUACUCCAAUUCACUCCAAUUUUCCGUAACUCUCAUUAUUUUUUAUAAAAUAAAUAAAAAUGGAUUAAUCACAUAUUAAUUGUUAUGAUGAUUAGCUAAUUCAUAGUGUUUAAGUAGUAAUUAUGAGUAUAUCAUUUAUUUUUAUAAAAUAAAUAAAAAUGGAUUAAUUAUAUAUUAAUUGUUAUGAUGAUUAGCUAAUUCAUAGUGUUUAAGUAGUAAUUAUGGGUAUAAAAAUAUACGUAAUUACUCGGCUCCAUUAUCUUACGAGCACGAGCCGAACGAGUUAAAAACCGAGCCGAAUACGAGUCAAACACGAGUGGCUCGAGCCAACUUACUACCCUAGCUGUGUCUCUGUAUACUACGAAUAACUAUCUGGUUUCACAAAAUCUUAUAGAAGAACUUCAUCAACUGUGUGCUCAAUUCUGGUGGGGUGGUACAUAUGAGAAGAAGGGUAUGCAUUAGAGAGCUUGGGAUGCCUUGCGUAAGCCGAAAAUUGAAGGAAGUAUGGGUUUUUAACAUCUAUUUGCUUUUAAUUUAGCUAUGUUAGCUAAACAGGGGUGAGGAUUAAUUCAGAAUCUGACAUCCCUAACAAGGAGAUUAAAGCUAUCUAUUUUCCUCAAGGUAAUUUAUGGGAAGGGAGUUCUCCCUCUUAUGCAUGGCAAAGUAUUAUUGAUGGAAGUAUUACUAAUGAUACGGAUUUUCUUAAUUUGACCCACUUUUUCAUCUUAUUUUCUCAUCUUAACCGUUCACAUUGUAGGUAUAUAUGAGUAGAUCAUCUCUACAAAUUUUCAGUUAAUUUGGAGAUCGUUAAGGUAUCGAAAAUGAACUAAAUCAAUGAAC